GCAAGUAUAUACGCUUGUCAAUUAUCAUCACAAAGUUCGCUGAGAAGUUAGUUUCCAUGAGAGAAGUUAGAGCUUGAUUCCAUUCUGUUGAAUCGACGCAGAGCUUUAUUGUAGACUGAGUGGUUGGCCUCCUCUGCGAAAAACCUGGGAACUGAUAUAGUGAAGCAAGAACAAGGGCAUAGCAGAAACGGACUUUCAGAAAGACAUAUUUUCGUUGGUGUCAACGGUCACAGCAAGGAGCAGGAAUAAAAUGAAAAUAUCACUAGCUGCUUUGCUCAUUUUGAUGGCAACAUGCGUGCCCUGUAUUUGCAUUGUGUGCACAAAUCCGAAUGAAGUGCCAGUGGGAUGCUACACCGGUGGAGCAGGCGAACAACCAUGCCCGAACGCUUACAGGAAAAGAAGCUGCAGCGUUGGCGGGUAUAUGGGUUAUGGUAGACGAACCUGCGGCUGCAGAGACGGAACAUACCGAAGGAUAGACAUGAAAUGCGUGUACUAUAUAGAUUGUGUACCCAAAGGAAAAGUCACUGAUGAACAGCGAAAAAAUAUGGCGACAGCUCGAAAGUUGCUGAAUGGGACGAAUACACUUAUUUUAUUUUUUGAUGUGAACGGAUAUGCGAAACUAAAGAAAGAUAUAUGCUGGUCCUCUAAAAAAUUUGCAAUUUUGGACGCUGGAGGAAUUCGUCAUACGCUGACCUAUACCGAAAACGGUAUUCGGCAUUCCAGAGACCUCGACUGGUAUGUAAAGGCAAGAUACGGGGUACCAACAGUAAUCCUCAAUGCAUGGGACGGGCAACAAAAAGAUCGCAGUAAAAGUGGAACCUACACCCUUCUUGCUGCUCAAGAUACCUGCUUAGUUAUUGGGACAGUAAAAGGAAAUGGAGAUGGCUCUUCGUGCUUAUACUGGACAGACAUUAGCAGGUUUCGACAAAACCGCACGAAAUGCGAAGAUGCAUUCUACCACAAGUGCAGUUCUAUUACAGGAAGCUGGUAUAUGUACAGGGAGCACCAGCAGAAAUGUAA